rnacentral:rRNA from 1 species
AUGGGAGGUCUGCCCGAAGAAGGCUGCCACCUUCUGCUUCCGCGUCUCGGUGCUCCCCGUGGUGCCGAAGGCCGGGAACGCGGCGGCGGCAGCCAGGAAUGCGUUGUACGUGUAGAACCCGCCGGCAUCUUGGCAUUGGUUGCUGUGGAGCAGGAACUGCUGGAAGUUGUCCCUGGAGAUGAUGGACGACACGCCCCCGCCGGGGCUGGGUCCAGGAGGAGUGGGGCCGCAGCCGCUGCACUGGCUCUGGCAGCCGGCGCCGCAGUAGUCGGAGGUGCUGCCGCAGUAACCGAAGCGGCUGCAGCAGAGGCAGUUCGGGCACGUCGCGCCGCCGGCCUGCGAGCCGCACUGCUGGGCGCGGACCGCCGUGCCGAGCGCCGCCGCCAGGACGAUGGCCAGGAUGGCCGCCACCCUCCUCGGGCCUCUCAUUCUCAGUGUAGCCACGAUCUGGUUGAUCUUGAUACCUGCAGCUGA